GGUUAAGCGACUAAGCGUACACGGUGGAUGCCCUGGCAGUCAGAGGCGAUGAAGGACGUGCUAAUCUGCGAAAAGCGUCGGUAAGGUGAUAUGAACCGUUAUAACCGGCGAUGUCCGAAUGGGGAAACCCAGUGCAAUUCGUUGCACUAUCGUUAACUGAAUACAUAGGUUAACGAGGCGAACCGGGGGAACUGAAACAUCUAAGUACCCCGAGGAAAAGAAAUCAACCGAGAUUCCCCCAGUAGCGGCGAGCGAACGGGGAGCAGCCCAGAGUCUGAAUCAGCUUGUGUGUUAGUGGAACGGUCUGGAAAGUCCGACGGUACAGGGUGAUAGUCCCGUACACCAAAAUGCACAGGUUGUGAACUCGAAGAGUAGGGCGGGACACGUGGUAUCCUGUCUGAAUAUGGGGGGACCAUCCUCCAAGGCUAAAUACUCCUGACUGACCGAUAGUGAACCAGUACCGUGAGGGAAAGGCGAAAAGAACCCCGGCGAGGGGAGUGAAAAAGAACCUGAAACCGUGUACGUACAAGCAGUGGGAGCACCUUCGGGUGUGACUGCGUACCUUUUGUAUAAUGGGUCAGCGACUUAUAUUCUGUAGCAAGGUUAACCGUAUAGGGGAGCCGCAGGGAAACCGAGUCUUAACUGGGCGUUAAGUUGCAGGGUAUAGACCCGAAACCCGGUGAUCUAGCCAUGGGCAGGUUGAAGGUUGGGUAACACUAACUGGAGGACCGAACCGACUAAUGUUGAAAAAUUAGCGGAUGACUUGUGGCUGGGGGUGAAAGGCCAAUCAAACCGGGAGAUAGCUGGUUCUCCCCGAAAGCUAUUUAGGUAGCGCCUCGUGAAUUCAUCUUCGGGGGUAGAGCACUGUUUCGGCUAGGGGGUCAUCCCGACUUACCAACCCGAUGCAAACUACGAAUACCGAAGAAUGUUAUCACGGGAGACACACGGCGGGUGCUAACGUCCGUCGUGAAGAGGGAAACAACCCAGACCGCCAGCUAAGGUCCCAAAGUCAUGGUUAAGUGGGAAACGAUGUGGGAAGGCACAGACAGCCAGGAUGUUGGCUUAGAAGCAGCCAUCAUUUAAAGAAAGCGUAAUAGCUCACUGGUCGAGUCGGCCUGCGCGGAAGAUGUAACGGGGCUAAACCAUGCACCGAAGCUGCGGCAGCGACACUAUGUGUUGUUGGGUAGGGGAGCGUUCUGUAAGCCUGCGAAGGUGUGCUGUGAGGCAUGCUGGAGGUAUCAGAAGUGCGAAUGCUGACAUAAGUAACGAUAAAGCGGGUGAAAAGCCCGCUCGCCGGAAGACCAAGGGUUCCUGUCCAACGUUAAUCGGGGCAGGGUGAGUCGACCCCUAAGGCGAGGCCGAAAGGCGUAGUCGAUGGGAAACAGGUUAAUAUUCCUGUACUUGGUGUUACUGCGAAGGGGGACGGAGAAGGCUAUGUUAGCCGGGCGACGGUUGUCCCGGUUUAAGCAUGUAGGCUGGUUAUCCAGGCAAAUCCGGAUAAUCAAGGCUGAGGUGUGAUGACGAGGCACUACGGUGCUGAAGUAACAAAUGCCCUGCUUCCAGGAAAAGCCUCUAAGCAUCAGGUAACAUCAAAUCGUACCCCAAACCGACACAGGUGGUCAGGUAGAGAAUACCAAGGCGCUUGAGAGAACUCGGGUGAAGGAACUAGGCAAAAUGGUGCCGUAACUUCGGGAGAAGGCACGCUGGUGUGUAGGUGAAGUCCCUGCGGAUGGAGCUGAGACCAGUCGAAGAUACCAGCUGGCUGCAACUGUUUAUUAAAAACACAGCACUGUGCAAACACGAAAGUGGACGUAUACGGUGUGACGCCUGCCCGGUGCCGGAAGGUUAAUUGAUGGGGUUAUCCGUAAGGAGAAGCUCUUGAUCGAAGCCCCGGUAAACGGCGGCCGUAACUAUAACGGUCCUAAGGUAGCGAAAUUCCUUGUCGGGUAAGUUCCGACCUGCACGAAUGGCGUAAUGAUGGCCAGGCUGUCUCCACCCGAGACUCAGUGAAAUUGAACUCGCUGUGAAGAUGCAGUGUACCCGCGGCAAGACGGAAAGACCCCGUGAACCUUUACUAUAGCUUGACACUGAACAUUGAGCCUUGAUGUGUAGGAUAGGUGGGAGGCUUUGAAGCGUGGACGCCAGUCUGCGUGGAGCCAACCUUGAAAUACCACCCUUUAAUGUUUGAUGUUCUAACGUUGGCCCCUUACCGGGGUUGCGGACAGUGUCUGGUGGGUAGUUUGACUGGGGCGGUCUCCUCCCAAAGCGUAACGGAGGAGCACGAAGGUUAGCUAAUCCUGGUCGGACAUCAGGAGGUUAGUGCAAUGGCAUAAGCUAGCUUGACUGCGAGCGUGACGGCGCGAGCAGGUGCGAAAGCAGGUCAUAGUGAUCCGGUGGUUCUGAAUGGAAGGGCCAUCGCUCAACGGAUAAAAGGUACUCCGGGGAUAACAGGCUGAUACCGCCCAAGAGUUCAUAUCGACGGCGGUGUUUGGCACCUCGAUGUCGGCUCAUCACAUCCUGGGGCUGAAGUAGGUCCCAAGGGUAUGGCUGUUCGCCAUUUAAAGUGGUACGCGAGCUGGGUUUAGAACGUCGUGAGACAGUUCGGUCCCUAUCUGCCGUGGGCGCUGGAGAAUUGAGGGGGGCUGCUCCUAGUACGAGAGGACCGGAGUGGACGCAUCACUGGUGUUCGGGUUGUCAUGCCAAUGGCACUGCCCGGUAGCUAAAUGCGGAAGAGAUAAGUGCUGAAAGCAUCUAAGCACGAAACUUGCCCCGAGAUGAGUUCUCCCUGAGACUUUAAGUCUCCUGAAGGAACGUUGAAGACGACGACGUUGAUAGGCCGGGUGUGUAAGCGCAGCGAUGCGUUGAGCUAACCGGUACUAAUGAACCGUGAGGCUUAACCUU
rnacentral:rRNA from 1 species